rnacentral:rRNA from 1 species
UACAGAGGGUGCGAGCGUUAAUCGGAAUUACUGGGCGUAAAGCGUGCGUAGACGGUUUUGUAAGUCGGAUGUGAAAUCCCCGGGCUCAACCUGGGAAUUGCAUUCGAGACUGCGAGGCUUGGGUGCGGAAGAGGGAAGCGGAAUUUCCGGUGUAGCGGUGAAAUGCGUAGAUAUCGGAAGGAACAUCAGUGGCGAAAGCGGCUUCCUGGUCCAGCACCGACGUUCAGGCACGAAAGCGUGGGGAGCAAACAGG